GAUGAACGCUGACAGAAUGCUUAACACAUGCAAGUCGAUUCGAUUUACCUUCGGGUAUUGAGGAUGGCGGACGGGUGAGUAACGCGUAAGGAACUUGCCUCUUGGUCUGGGACAACUGUUGGAAACGACAGCUAAUACCGGAUAUUAUGAGAUUCUCGCAUGGGAAACUUAUGAAAGCUAUAUGCGCCAAGAGAGAGCCUUGCGUUCCAUUAGCUAGUUGGUGGGGUAACGGCCCACCAAGGCGACGAUGGAUAGCCGGCCUGAGAGGGUGAACGGCCACAAGGGGACUGAGACACGGCCCUUACUCCUACGGGAGGCAGCAGUGGGGAAUAUUGGACAAUGGGCCACAAGCCUGAUCCAGCAAUUCUGUGUGCACGAUGAAGGUCUUCGGAUUGUAAAGUGCUUUCAGUUGGGAAGAAGAAAGUGACGGUACCAACAGAAGAAGCGACGGCUAAAUACGUGCCAGCAGCCGCGGUAAUACGUAUGUCGCAAGCGUUAUCCGGAUUUAUUGGGCGUAAAGCGCGUCUAGGCGGAAAAAUAAGUCUGAUGUUAAAAUGCGGGGCUCAACUCCGUAUUGCGUUGGAAACUGUUUUUCUAGAGUACUGGAGAGGUGGGCGGAACUACAAGUGUAGAGGUGAAAUUCGUAGAUAUUUGUAGGAAUGCCGAUGGAGAAGUCAGCUCACUGGACAGANACUGACGCUAAAGCGCGAAAGCNUGGGGAGCAAACAGGAUUAGAUACCCUGGUAGUCCACG
rnacentral:rRNA from 1 species